GAAGAAAAAGCUAGAAGAUUGCAGUGUUCUGGGGAUUGGCAUUUCUCGUGGCCUGCCAGAACACUGCAAUCUUCUAACUUUUUCUUC
rnacentral:pre_miRNA from 1 species